rnacentral:rRNA from 1 species
AUUGAACGCUGGCGGCAGGCCUAACACAUGCAAGUCGAGCGGAUGACGGGAGCUUGCUCCUUGAUUCAGCGGCGGACGGGUGAGUAAUGCCUAGGAAUCUGCCUGGUAGUGGGGGGCAACGUUUCGAAAGGAACGCUAAUACCGCAUACGUCCUACGGGAGAAAGCAGGGGACCUUCGGGCCUUGCGCUAUCAGAUGAGCCUAGGUCGGAUUAGCUAGUUGGUGGGGUAAUGGCUCACCAAGGCGACGAUCCGUAACUGGUCUGAGAGGAUGAUCAGUCACACUGGAACUGAGACACGGUCCAGACUCCUACGGGAGGCAGCAGUGGGGAAUAUUGGACAAUGGGCGAAAGCCUGAUCCAGCCAUGCCGCGUGUGUGAAGAAGGUCUUCGGAUUGUAAAGCACUUUAAGUUGGGAGGAAGGGCAGUAAGCUAAUACCUUGCUGUUUUGACGUUACCGACAGAAUAAGCACCGGCUAACUCUGUGCCAGCAGCCGCGGUAAUACAGAGGGUGCAAGCGUUAAUCGGAAUUACUGGGCGUAAAGCGCGCGUAGGUGGUUUGUUAAGUUGGAUGUGAAGGCCCCGGGCUCAACCUGGGAACUGCAUCCAAAACUGGCAAGCUAGAGUACGGUAGAGGGUGGUGGAAUUUCCUGUGUAGCGGUGAAAUGCGUAGAUAUAGGAAGGAACACCAGUGGCGAAGGCGACCACCUGGACUGAUACUGACACUGAGGUGCGAAAGCGUGGGGAGCAAA